rnacentral:rRNA from 1 species
UACGUAGGUGGCGAGCGUUACUCGGAUUUACUAGGUAUAAAACGCAGGUAGGUGGUCUUAUAAGUUAAAGGUGAAAUCCACGAUUAACAUCGUGAACUGCUUUUAAAACUAUUUGACUUGAGUGUAAAAAGGGGAACCAGAAUUCCCGGUGUAGCGGUGAAAUGCGUAGAUAUCGGGAGGAAUACCGAUGGCGAAGGCGGGUUCCUGGUUUAUUACUGACACUGAGCUGCGAAAGCUAGGGGAGCAAACAGGAUUAGAUACCCUGGUAGUCCUAGCCGUAAACGAUGUUCACUAGAUAUGGGAGGUGUCGACCCCUUCUGUGUCGCAGCGAAUGCAUUAAGUGAACUACCUGGGAAGUACGGCCGCAAGGUUGAAACUCAAAAGAAUUGACGGGGGCUCGCACAAGCGGUGGAGUAUGUGGUUUAAUUCGACGCAACGCGAAGAACCUUACCUGGGCUUGAAGUGUAAGUAGUAUCCCGACCGAAAGGUUGGGAGACCCGCAAGGGAGCUUAUAGAGGUGCUGCAUGGUUGUCGUCAGCUCGUGUCGUGAGAUGUAUGGUUAAGUCCCAUAACGAGCGCAACCCCUGCUUUAUGUUGCAAACCUGAGUAAUCAGGUGCACUCUUAAAGGACUGCUCCGGUUAACGGAGAGGAAGGUGGGGAUGACGUCAAAUCCUCAUGGCCUUUAUGUCCAGGGCUACACACGUACUACAAUGGCCGUUACAGAGGGUUGCCAAACCGAAAGGCGGAGCUAAUCCCAAAAAAACGGCCCCAGUUCAGAUUGAGGGCUGCAAUUCGCCCCCAUGAAGGUGGAAUCGCUAGUAAUCGCUGAUCAGCAAGCAGCGGUGAAUACGUUCCCGAGCCU